GCCCAUGUAGCACAGUGGUAGUGCACCCCCUUGGUAAGGGGGAGGUCACCAGUUCGAACCUGGUCAUGGGCUCCA
rnacentral:tRNA from 1 species